rnacentral:rRNA from 1 species
UACAGAGGGGGCAAGCGUUGUUCGGAAUUACUGGGCGUAAAGGGCGCGUAGGCGGCCCGCUAAGUCGAACGUGAAAUCCCCGGGCUCAACCCGGGAACUGCGUCCGAUACUGGUGGGCUCGAAUCCGGGAGAGGGAUGCGGAAUUCCAGGUGUAGCGGUGAAAUGCGUAGAUAUCUGGAGGAACACCGGUGGCGAAGGCGACAUCCUGGACCGGUAUUGACGCUGAGGCGCGAAAGCUAGGGGAGCAAACGGG